CGAAGUUCAUAAUAUCCAAACUUUUCAACAGCUGUUCGUCUUUUUCACUGUAUCCCAAGAAUAGAAAUACGCCCGGGACAAGCGUAUACGAACCUGUUUCGAAAAUCACGGGGAAGCUCUUAAAGAACAUUACUCAUUCUAAAGAAAAAUAUAUUUCUUUUGGUCUAUAAAAUGAAAUAAUAAAAAAAAAAAAACACACUGAUGUAUUGUAACAUUAGAAGAACUAGCUGUGAAUGGUUACCACACAUAAUUAUCAAAUAAUGUUAUGGCCAUCAAAUUUUAUACCACACCACCCACCACACAAAGUCAAAACGAUAAUAAUCCAAUAUUGUCACAAUAUCAUACCCAUUUUUGGUCGCAUGCAAAUAAAUCGUCCGACAUAGCACACGCAACGACCGCGAAAUGCGAUAUACGCUGGCGACU